AAACUGAGCCUUGGUACUUCCCUUUUUUAAAUUUCCAUGUGCAAGUCUUAACUUGUAGCUGAACAGGAGUGUUUGCCAUCCCCAUAGUGGCUACAGCAGUGCUCGCUAUAGUAGUGUUCAUAGUAGUUAUAGCAGCAGUAACCACAGCAGUAGUAGUAGAUGUAGCAGUAGCAGUAGAUGUAGCAGCAGCAGCAGCAGGAGCAACAGCAGUAGUAAUAGCACCAACAGCAGUACCUGUAGUCAAAGCUAUCUUUGGUGCUUGCGGUAGUUUUGCAGGGACAUCUUCAUGUGCAGCAACAACAUUGUUUGCAGCAUAAUGUAUUCGCGCUAUCAAAUAGUUGCAUGCAACAUUCCGCAGAUGCUUGCAAAGAACAUGUGAAGCUCCUCCAUAAUUGAAAACACAUCCCGUGCUUGCACCAAAUGGGACGAUAUGUUCACUCUUCGCACCCGAAAUGACGUUCAUGAAUUUUCUCACUUGACUACAGUCUAGCGUCGAAAUGAAAGCCACUAGUCGGUCUUCAUAGCUGUCCAUUACUUCAUGUAGAUCUGUCUCAUUAUCUAUCAUCAGGAAUUUGAUGCAUUUUCCACACAUCUCAGAGUUCACAGCAUUUAGACCAAAAUGCCGGACUAAACAAGUGUACUCAUUAUCAGAGAGCUCAGGGCGGGCACAAAUGUGGGGGAUUCUACCAGACGCCUCUGGUGGCUGUAUCUCGGUUAAAUCUGUCACAAAGAGACUGAUAUGCAGAGAAAGGAUUGGUCUUAACGCUUUGUCCAUAACUCCUCCACCGUCAAUAAUGAAAAUAAUAGUCUCCGACAGAUCUGUCACCCAUUCGGCUAUUUUCUCCAUGUCCCUUCCAAUUCUAGCAAGGGACUCAAGCUUGAUAGGAUCAUGGAGGAAUGUAAAGACAAGAGAUGCGUAGAAAACAUCAGCUGGGAUGAGCUUAUAUUCCUGAUAUGGUAUCAGGCAUACAGGUUUUCUAGCAUCAAGGCCAUCUUUCACAGCUUCUGUCCCGUCAGGGCUUAAAUGCCUACCUCUGGCAUUUGUACCUUCUGAAGAAGAAGAAGCACCGACUUCUUCAAUUUGGCAUACAUUAACAGCGUCUUUCUGCAAAGACAUGGCACCGACUCCAUGCAGGUUAGUGUCCGUGUUCUCUACUCGUUCUGCAUCUUCUGGAGCUUUUAGCUUGUCAUUUGUAGCAUCAGGGCCUGAAUGCCCGGUCCGAGCAUGUGCUGCAGGGCAGCCUAAAUGCCACAAGUGGCAAAACAAUACAACUCCUAGAACCCGUUUGCCACACCCGGACGGGCCUCCAAGAACGAGUUUCUCUCUAGUUUGCAUUUUUGAGACCCUUUCUGCAACUUCUACAAAUUGUUCUCGCCCCAUGUAUCGCACCUGACCCACAAGAUGAAAUGCCGGGUAUGGGAACUCAAUGGGCUUGCCCGAGGGAUCUGCCAGAUUCUUGCCCCAGAACAAGCUGCAAAUCAGAUCUCCUGUCUCCCUGGAGAAGUUUAGGAUCUUUUGAUUCAUGGAAGAGAAGCCUAUGCGGAGUGGCCAAGCAGCAGCACCUGUCCUGUGUCGCACCCUAAGCCCUAAACCCUCUCGGUGGUGUCAAGAGGAGAGCACCUAAAUCAACUUCAUGGGCUCCGUGACACUGCCGCCUUUGUCACAAGCCUAGCACCUGCCGUGGAUGCAUCAACGGCACGGACGCCACACUCGUUGCCCUCCUCACGACGCAAAAGCGAUGCAAGGUAAGUCGUAGGGUAACCCCCCAGUCCAACUUGGCCGUGGCUUGCCGUCGUGAACGAGACCACCUCAAGUCUAGCAAGAACCACCCUGAGAAGCUAGCUCCUGCACGACACCUUCUCGCGACACAAAUAGCCUGACCUGACCUGUAAGUAUUGUUCUUUUAAGGACAAAAAGCAAAAAUAACGACAAACAAGCCCUGGAAUUGCGCAGCAACUUAACCCCCUGACUCACUGGUGAUUCUCCCGGAAGAGUGUAGGAAAGAUGGAAGCUGGCCAAGUUCCACAACUGGGCCACAACUAGGGCGGGG
rnacentral:lncRNA from 1 species